GCCGGGUGUGGUGGCGUGCGCCUGUAAUCCCAGCUACUCGGGAGGCUGAGGCAGGAAAAUUGCUUGAACCCAGGAGGCGGAGAUUGCACCGCUGCACUCCAGCCUGGGUGAUAAAGCAAGACUCUGUCUCAA
rnacentral:SRP_RNA from 2 species